GUGUGGGCACCCGGGGCUGGGGACAGGGCAGGGCUGGGACAGCGGGAUGGGACAGCAGGGCUGUGGAUGCAGCGUCCAUCCUGUGUCCAUCCCUGUGUCCAUCCCUCUGUCCAUCCUGUGUCCAUCCCUCUGUCCAUCCCUGUCCAUCCCUGUGUCCAUCCUGUGUCCAUCCCUCUGUCCAUCCCUGUGUCCCUCCCUGUCCCCCCCAUGUCCCUCCCUGUCCAUCCCUGUGUCCAUCCUCUGUCCAUCCCUGUGUCCAUCCCUGUCCAUCCUCUGUCCAUCCCUGUGUCCAUCCCUCUGUCCAUCCUGUGUCCAUCCCUGUGUCCAUCCCUGUGUCCAUCCCUGUCCAUCCCUGUGUCCAUCCUGUGUCCAUCCCUCUGUCCAUCCGUGUGUCCAUCCCAGUCCAUCCUCUGUCCAUCCCUGUCCCUCCCUGUCCAUCCCAUCCAUCCCUCUGUCCAUCCCUGUGUCCAUCCCUGUGUCCAUCCCUGUGUCCAUCCCUCUGUCCAUCCCUCUGUCCCUCCCUCUG
rnacentral:lncRNA from 1 species